rnacentral:rRNA from 1 species
UACGGGGGGGGCAAGCGUUGUUCGGAAUUACUGGGCGUAAAGGGCUCGUAGGCGGCCAACUAAGUCGGACGUGAAAUCCCUCGGCUUAACCGGGGAACUGCGUCCGAUACUGGAUGGCUCGAGUUUGGGAGAGGGAUGCGGAAUUCCAGGUGUAGCGGUGAAAUGCGUAGAUAUCUGGAGGAACACCGGUGGCGAAGGCGGCAUCCUGGACCAACACUGACACUGAGGAGCGAAAGCCAGGGGAGCAAACGGG